rnacentral:rRNA from 1 species
UACGUAGGGCGCAAGCGUUAUCCGGAAUUAUUGGGCGUAAAGAGCUCGUAGGCGGUUUGUCGCGUCUGCCGUGAAAGUCCGGGGCUCAACUCCGGAUCUGCGGUGGGUACGGGCAGACUAGAGUGAUGUAGGGGAGACUGGAAUUCCUGGUGUAGCGGUGAAAUGCGCAGAUAUCAGGAGGAACACCGGCGGCGAAGGCGGCACUCUGGGCCGGUACUGACGCUGAGGAGCGAAAGCGUGGGUAGCAAACAGG